rnacentral:lncRNA from 12 species
AUGUCAGUGCGCUUAAUUACGAGCCCUGGGGGAGGAAAGGCAAGCACGCGGUGGUUUCCUGGCACGAGUUCGGAAAGUGCAGUUAGGGCUAAAUUCUCACGUGGAGGACUGAGCCUCUUUCUAGAACUUUUACCUGGAAGCUCGGUAGGACUCCAGCACGGGAACACGGUCCGGAGUCCUCAGGGCUUGCACGCGAGAAACUCUUUACGCGCAGCCUGCAACCGUCACGCAGGAAAGGGGCUUCGGGACCUCCGUAUCUUCUUACAAACCCAGAGGCCGUUGGAAAACAUCGGGGCCAGAUCAGAAUCGUCAAAUGGUAGCUUUUUCUUUUUUUUACUUUUUUUUUUUUUUUUUUUGAUUGUGGCUCACGGUGGCGUUUCUGCAAAGAAAGAAAACAGCCGCCAGCGCUGCCAAGCCGUGUUUACUGGAGGGGAAGGAAAGGGGAGGAGGCGCCCUGCCCCUCCGGCAGCCUGCGUCAGGGCCUGCGCCCCCGAGGAGACCUCGCUGCGGUCUCCAGCGCGGCACCCUGACUCACGCCGCGCCCGUGUUUAUUUAUUCCAGAACUUGUGCCCGGGCAGGCGGCGCGGCGCACGUGGAGCGGGGACGAGGGACCGGCCCCGGGCGGCGGCGGCUGCGCCCCGCUCCCGCUCCGGCUCCCGCCCCCGCUCCGGCUCCCGCUCCGGCCCCCGCUCCCGCUCCCGCUCCCGCUCCGGCUCCCGCCCCCGCCCCCGCCCCCGCUCCCGCCAGCGAGCCGGCCGCGCGCCUGUAAUUAGCGAGGAGCCGCGCCCCCCCGCGCCCCCGCCCCGCCCCGCCCCCGCCCGCGCCCCGCCCCCGCCCGCGCCCCGCCCCCGCCCCCGCCCGCGUGCCCGCGAGGGCUGUGCGCGCGCCCCGGCCCGCGUGCGUCCCCGGCGGCGCGCUCCGCGCUGGUUACCGCGUAGUGAACCAAAUAAAGUAAAGGUCUGGCUCCGGCCGGGGGCGGGGUGUGGCGAGCCCCCCGCUGCCCAGAAAAGACCGGCCGCGCGUCAGCAAGGGCCUUGGCCGCCGCCGCGAGGGUCCCUGACGCGCGGCGCGGCUGUCCUGGGCGGAUCUGCUAAGCUGGGGAGGGCGCAUGACAAGAGCUGCCCCAAAUGUCACUCCCUUUUUGGAAAUCAUGAUGCUGCCUUUUUUUUUUUUUUUUUUUUUUUAAGACUGUGGCUAAAAUAA